UGCUGGCACCAGUGCUAUAUUUUCUCAUUUAAACAGUUAUUUAACAGAAUUCUUCUGUGAUAAUACUCAAAGUUGAAUUUUUAUCAUCUACAAACUGUUAGUGUUAAAAGACAGAUGGCUGUGGAUGCAUUUAUUGGUAUAAUAAAUAACACAAUCGGCAACGGCACAUCUCCUUGUUUUCUUUUGUUUGCGCAAGUCAGUGUAAGUGAGUACCAUUCGGUAUAGCUUUCAUGCGAAACAAUAUCGUAAAUAAGAUUGUGUUAAACGUUGUGUUGUUUAUUAACAUUUGUUGGUGCAUUCACCGUUUUGUGAAUUAGCAGCCGCAUAUAUGGAAAUUGACAUACAAGAUGUAACUACAGUAGAAAAUCGUCAGAAAUGUAGAAUAUCACUGGAUGGAAAAGGGACCUAUACUGAAUCACCUAUACGGGAUCACUGGAUGGAAAAGGGUUCUAUAUGAAGUUGAAAUUUAAGUAGAUAUUAUUUGAGUUUAAUCGUAAUUCGACGAAUAAAAUCUUGAAAAACUGAUGUUCAACAUACUAUGCACAUUUUUUCUUCAAUUAAUUUCAAAAUUUCAGUGGUUUAUUAAUAGUGCAACUGAUAUCAAAAUAACAAUUACUUUAUUUACUUUUAAUGUCACUCUUUCUAAUAAGUUAAAAUUUUAAUGUUGUUUUGUUUAGU